UGGGGAAUUUUGGACAAUGGGCGCAAGCCUGAUCCAGCCAUGCCGCGUGCGGGAAGAAGGCCUUCGGGUUGUAAACCGCUUUGUCAGGGAAGAAAUCUUCUGGGUUAAUACCUCGGGAGGAUGACGGUACCUGAAGAAUAAGCACCGGCUAACUACGUGCCAGCAGCCGCGGUAAUACGUAGGGUGCAAGCGUUAAUCGGAAUUACUGGGCGUAAAGCGUGCGCAGGCGGUUUUGUAAGACAGAGGUGAAAUCCCCGGGCUCAACCUGGGAACUGCCUUUGUGACUGCAAGGCUUGAGUGCGGCAGAGGGGGAUGGAAUUCCGCGUGUAGCAGUGAAAUGCGUAGAUAUGCGGAGGAACACCGAUGGCGAAGGCAAUCCCCUGGGCCUGCACUGACGCUCAUGCACGAAAGCGUGGGGAGCAAACAGGAUUAGAUACCCUGGUAGUCCACGCCCUAAACGAUGUCAACUGGCUUGUUGGGGAAAGGUUCCUUCUCAGUAACGUAGCUAACGCGUGAAGUUGACCGCCUGGGGAGUACGCCGCAAGGUUGAAUCAAAUG
rnacentral:rRNA from 1 species